UCAGUAACGGGCGAGUGAAGCGGCUACAGCUCAAAUUUGAAAAUCUGGCCUCCUUUGGUGGUCCGAGUUGUAAUUUGCAGAGGAUGCUUUGGCAUUGGCGGCGGUCUAAGUUCCUUGGAACAGGACAUCGCAGAGGGUGAGAAUCCCGUACGUGGGCGCCUGCCUUUGCCGUGUAAAGCUCCUUCGACGAGUCGAGUUGUUUGGGAAUGCAGCUCUAAAUGGGAGGUAAAUUUCUCCUAAAGCUAAAUACCGGCCAGAGACCGAUAGCGCACAAGUAGAGUGAUCGAAAGAUGAAAAGUACUUUGGAAAGAGAGUCAAAUAGCACGUGAAAUUGUUGAAAGGGAAGCGCUUGCAGCCAGACUUGCCCGCAGUUGCUCACCCAGGCUCUCGCCUGGGGCACUCUUCUGCGGGCAGGCCAGCAUCAGUUUGGGCGGUCGGAUAAAGGCUCCUGUCAUGUACCACCCCUCGGGGUGGCCUUAUAGGGGGGGCGUAAUGCGACCAGCCCGGACUGAGGUCCGCGCAUCUGCUAGGAUGCUGGCGUAAUGGCUGUAAGCGGCCCGUCUUGAAACACGGACCAAGGAGUCUAACAUCUAUGCGAGUGUUUGGGUGUCAAGCCCGGGCGCGCAAUGAAAGUGAACGGAGGUGGGAACCUUUCGGGGUGCACCAUCGACCGAUCCUGAUGUCUUCGGAUGGAUUUGAGUAAGAGCAUAGCUGUUGGGACCCGAAAGAUGGUGAACUAUGCUUGAAUAGGGUGAAGCCAGAGGAAACUCUGGUGGAGGCUCGCAGCGGUUCUGACGUGCAAAUCGAUCGUCAAA
rnacentral:rRNA from 1 species